GCUGACUUUAAGAGAGCACCAUGUGUGAACAAGAAACGAAAAUGAUACUUAUUCUGUGCCUACUCGCUGUAUGCAGCGCGGUCCCUUUGAGAAAGAACGAAGAUGAAACAAAAAUAGUGUUGUGGAAUGUAAAUGAUCACGCAAUGGCUGAUGAAGUACCUUCAAGUAUUUCGACAAGUGCAGUUGAUAGUGAUUUAGUAAAAUUAAAUGUAAUAGCAAGUGACAGUGAAAGUAAAAUUCGGAUGAAAAGAUUUAUAACGAUCGGAGGUGGAUGUCCUGAGGAUUAUAUCAUGAUGCCAGGCCCCAUUGGAUGCGUGACGUGUGAAAAGUACAGAGAACUAACUGAUGAAGACUGCUGAAGGACUACAUUUAGGCUCAAUGGAGAACGAAGGCUUAUUUUAUAUUAGAAUCUCAUGCUACAAAUGACAGAAGACUACGGGUUUUAAUAUAAGUAAUAUUAUAGGUUUACUCGUUUUAAAUUGUGAAGCUCAUUUAAUGCCAGUGACAUACAGCCAGCGUCAAAUAGUUCGCGACACCCAAAGUGGCCAAAAUGUUGACAACGCAAUCUUGUUCCAAGUAACAAAGAUGUGUUGCGAACUUUUUGGCCACUUUAGGUGUCACGAAAUGUUUGACGCUGACUCUAGACUCAAUCUGGGUAUCUUUGCCCAUGCAUCAGUAUAACAUUGACUCGAAAUAUAAUAAUUAGAAAUGGUAGGGUUUUUCUUACUUUAUUUUAAUUUAUCAAAUACGCAUUGUAUCUUUGACUCGUUUAAAAUAUUGGUGGUCCAGCUGUAGAUCCACAGGAGUUGCAGCGGUGGGAACGAGAGGUGGGAAUAGUCCCGUUUUGAUGGGCAAAGUUACCCAGAUUGACCGUACAUUAAUUAUAUUAAGUUGUACUUAAAUAGUCAUUAGUCUAUUUAUUGUAUAAUGUUUAAGCUAUACUUUACUUGCUAUUGAUUUCCAACAAAGUUGGGCAUUUUCUAAUAAAGAAGGAAUGUGAUUUAGAUUUAAUUAAGCUACAAAAGGUACAUAAUAACUUUAUUAGUGUAAUAAUCUAUUUAUUUCUUAAUUUAUUCAUUAAUUGAUUGAUAGGACCAUCAUUUUCGGUCUUAGAAAUACGGAUAGAGUAGGUAUUUUUGUACUCUUAAAAAUGAAUUUGUAUUAAAUAUUGUAUUGUUGGUAAAAAUAUUUAUUUAUUAAAACGCUUUGGACUCCUUAUAAAGCAUGUCCACAAUCCACAUUAGUGCUAUAUCUUUUUGUAUAAUGUAUGACAAUUUGUAUGAAACAAUGUUUGUAUAAAAGUGUUCAAGUCAUUUUAACACUGCAGUACACGCGCCCCUUCUUUUACAUGAAUACACGCGCGGCCUACUCUGGUAAGCCAAUUUAAAAUCACUGUAAAUCAGUUUGUAAGCUAUUUAUGAAUAUAAUUAUUAUGUAAAUGAUAAAAGUGUUUAUUAUAGUUAUUUUAUAAACAAAGUUUCUUUAUAUAACUAUUUGGGAUCGAACAUUAUAAACAGAUUUAAAAGUUGUAAAUUUUUUGGACCAAAAUUGCACUCUGAGACCAAUGUUAACAAAAAAAAAAUUGACUGAAAAAAUAUGAUAAGUUUUUUAUCUGUCAUAGUAUUCAUGACUUUCUACUGCCUGGUACACGGUGUAAAUCCAUUUGUUGCAAGUCUUUCAUAAUUUUUUUGUCGAGUGAUUUCAGGCUUUUGAGUAGACCCGCAGUUUUGACGGCCAAUUUUAGAAAAGUGCGCAGACUCUAGCGACCCAAGCUUUACUGGCUUACUGACAAAUUUAGUAAACGAGGCUUACCUGGAAUGCCAGCUCUCUGGCGCAAGUUUUCAAAAAGUUAUAGCGUAAAAUGUUACCCUGGUCUACUAUAGUAGUCCGCGCGUGUACUCUAGUGUUAAGAGAUGUUAAAUGAGUCAUUAUUAUGUAUCAAUCAUUAGAAAAAGAAACAAAACAAUUGUUGAAAUUAAACUCCAAUUUAAAAAACCCAA